UGCCUCUCCACAGGUUUUGAUAAAUCUCCCCCUAUGUGAUCACUUGGAACAGGGACCAGCAAAUUUUGGUACGCUUCAAUUGUAUAUGUACAUGGUCUACAGAAGGUUGGAGAAUGUUGGUGAGGCACAUCCUGAAGAACUUUGCAAAAAUGUGAAUGCCAUGAGUGACCCUCAUGAUGAGCCAUGGUGGCCAUAGGAAGAAGCAACACUGACAAGGUGGGAAGGACCUUGAUUUGCUAUGCAUCUCCACGAGUCAUUGUAGUCACCAAGGAUGUGUCCAUGACAUGAAUGAAGUAGACACUGCAUAAAAUGGGACCAAGUCAACAUAUUCAAACAAGACCAUCUAUGCUAUCAAUUCUACCCAAUUGCAUAGGCUCAUGGUCUUCAGGUGAUUGGAAAAUGUUGGUGGAACACAUUCUGAAGAACUGUGCAAGAAUGUGAAAGCCAUAAGUGACCCUCAUGAGGAGCCUUGGUGCCCAUAGGAAGGAGCAACACUGACAAGUGGCCGCCAAGAGAACUUGGAACAACGUGAUGGUGAAAAUUGUGUUAUGCAACAACAAAAAACAACUUUAUUUAUCUUGUUAUUUUUUUU